rnacentral:tmRNA from 1 species
GUGCAACAGUAAGAAAACAAGAGCUAAGGAUAAAUUCGACCUGCAGGUAGUCUUUUUUUAUCCCUACAAUUAAAUACCGGCUAAGCAUGUAGAAAGUGUAUGGAUUCCAUAUCUGGACGUGAGUUCAAAUCUCACCGGCUCCACUU